UAACCCUUUGCCCAAGUGAUCCACGUUCUUUCAUUCCUUACCAUUCAUUUACACUCAACAAUUCACCACACAUUUUCAAUAGUAUAACGCAUAGAGGGAGAAAAGUGGGAGACGAGAGACUGAGAAACAGGGGAAGAGGGAGUAAGAGAGCACGAGAUGCAGAGGGAGGGAGGCUGUCGCACUUCUAGCCGCCGCUGCUGAAGCUCCCCUCACCACUGUCAACGUCGGUUAGGGCAGAGGAGAAGAGAAAGAAUAACGGAGAAGAGAGACUGACGGGGAGGGUAAUACGGUUGCUGUUGAUUUGGAGCUACUACAAGAACGGCAGAUCCUGCUUCUGAUCCCUGUCCUUUUGAUUUUUGGAGCUGCAGUGGAUGGAGCUUGUCAUCCACUACAAAAUUUAUAUUUAUUUAUGAUAAUUUUUUAAUGGAAGUUAUUAAAAUCUCUAUAAUAUAUUUUAUUUGUGACAAAUUAUAAAACUCCCACUGAUAUAAUACUCCCAAUUCAAUUAAUUAUUCUAAAAUAAUCUAACUCAAAUAAUUAUUAACUCAGCCCAAUCAAAAAAAAAAUCAAACAGGGCUUUGAGAGAGAGAGAGAGAGGACGAGGGAGAGUGAGAUCUCUCAUUCUCUCUGAAACCCUAGAAUCUCAAUGUCGUCGCCAUCGCCAUCGCCACCGCCACCGCCACCGCCAUUGUUGCUGUCCUUGUCUCCUUCGUUAGCACAUCACCGGUGGAGUUAUAAAUGGAGGACGAGGUGAUCGUGGAGCCUCUCUUCUGCUUCUGCGUCGUCUUCCAGGGUUCUUCCGCUGGUUCUGCUUUUGCUCCGGUGGCUUGAAGUAGUCAGAGCGUGGUUUCGGCGCGGACGCGGUGGCAUUAGCUGAGGAGAUCUGGAAGGCGAGUGAGCAGGAGUCUCUGGAAGCUUCGAUUGAAGCUGCUUUCGAAGCUAUCAGAUCUCGUGGAACUGAUUUUCAUGUCGUUCCAAGUCAUUGCAGUGAGAAUUUCUUCCUAAUUUGUUCUUGUUUAGUUCGAGACUUAAAUUUUCUCACUCACUUCCGUUCAGAAUUUGUUCAGACAAUUACCGUGUUUUUGAGAGAGAUUGCUAUUUCUGCACCUUUUCUGUGGAUUUCAUGAACUGAAUUGCAGAGAAAGCAAGAAUUGCCUCAACUCAAGCUUCUCACGACUUCUAAAGUGAACGAUAACCGAACAAUCACACAACUGAUGCUCUCAUUGCGGAUUUAGGAUCAGCAUCUGCUACAAUUAAUGGUAGCAAGAAAGUUUCACGCCAAGACAUUGAGCUUGUUAAUCUCCUAUUUUAGAGCUUGGAGAAAUUAUCAUUUGAUAUGAGAGGCGUGGGAACUAAAGUCUCGAAAACUUGAAUUUAAAGAGUCAGUGGAAAGGGUUGAAGAGGUGCUAUUUGAGGAAAAAUCUAAGGCUGAUUAUGUUCAACUCCUAUUGCAUCUUGCUCUCAAAGGGUUAAGUAUCUCUUCUCUUUAUAGACUCAAAUCCAUUGCUUUCGAUCACUCUUGGAUACACCCCAUCCUUGAUAAUAUCCAAACAUUGAAAGUGAACUGGUCUUCUGAUAUAAAGAAUUUAGUACCAAACAAAGUGUCUUUCUCUAGUCUGACGAAAUUGGUUGUAUAUUAUUGCAAUGCUUGGUUGUAUCCUACAAUUAUAUUAAUUUGAUUGGGAGCCUGACUUAAGUUCCUAUUAUUUAGUUUAAGCUUGAUUUGCUAGUUGUAUAGUACCAGCCAACUUUGGUUGUAUCUGGAUUCUCUUGAGUUUUAAUUGAAGAUAAGGAAUAUAAAUAUGAGCAUGCAGCAAGUUCAAUUUUUUUUUGUUUUAUUAUUUUUAUUUUUUUAAUACAUGUUACGUUUAAUGGUUUUGCAGAAAAUGGAGAUACUCCUAUUAUUACACAAUUUUGUGAACAAGGAUGACAAAAAUGCAUUUUACGUGUGUGUACAAAGCAAUAUUAACGAAACAAAAAACAAAAUUGCUAAGGAUUCAAAUACCAUGAAGUUCGAUGACGAAAAUUUAAUUGUUAAAGUUGGAAAGUGCUUAGAGGAACGUGUCAAACAAAGAUCCACACAAUCUAAGGAACCCACACAGUUCACUUAUGCUGAUCAGUCAAUGGAGGUAAACCCAACAUAUCAUAUGGUACUAUUGUAAUAGUGAUGGAAAAGCUAGGUCCUCUGGUGCUUCUCAAAAUCCAACGAGAGGGAGGGGCAGAGGCAGAGGCAGAGGUUCUAGCAUGAUGAAACAGACAACUCUUGAUGGAGCAUUUCGCUCAUCUCAAAGGUUAUGACUCAAACCUAGUAACCUACUCGUUUAAAAGAGAAUGAUGUUAAUUUUUAUAUAAUAGACUUUUUUUUUUAAUUGAAUACUAUGUCUGGAGGGUAAUAAAUCCCAUGUUUAAUUGCUUGUUGAGCUAUGGAUAUACCAGUAAUUAUGCCUGAAUAAGCAGAUAUAGCUGAGUUAUUUGUACUAGCUGAGUUUUUAAUUCUUAAGAACUUUAACAAGACUGCCCGAGAACUCAUUAUGCGAUUACAGAAGAUUGAUAGUGACAAUUAUUUUGAAAUGAUUCUCAGCGGUGAAACACGGGGCACAAGGCAGAUAGUUAAGGUUCUGAACAAUGAAUGGAAGGUUAUUGCAUAUGCUAAACCAUGAUUCUCAAUGGUAAUUAACGGUUUAGUAGUGCCUAAACUGAGUAGAGUGAAAUUUUAAGUUUUUGUGUCUAUUUUUCCAUUUCAUACCAAUUUGAUUGAUGUAAUUUGUUUAAAUUUGUAUUCAUUCCAUACUAAUUACUAAUUUCUUUAAAGUUAAAUAAUUUUUAGUUUGAUUGAUGUAAUUUGUUCAAUGAAUAAUAGUGAUUUAUAGCUUUCAAAUAGGUCCAGUUUCAAUUUUAAAUAGUUUGCAAUAGUUCAGUUCGAUGCAAUUUUUUUUUUUAAAUUCAGUUUUUGUGGGGGUUUUAAACCUCCACAAAAGUGUCAAAAACUGCCAAAAAAUCCAAUUUAAAACCCCCACAAAGCAGACAAAGAACUGCCACUAAAGUAUGUUCUGGGGGUUCUGCAAAACCGCCACAAAUAAGCUCGUGGCACCUCAAAUUUUGGAGGUUUUAAAAACUCCCACUAACCUUUUGGUGGGGGUUUCAAACCCCCACAAACCAGAAAAAAACCGCCACAAAUAGACUUAAAUCUUGUAGUGAUCGGAGAAAGCAAGCUGCCGCCACCAACUCUCAAUUAAGCUAGGAUCCUUCUCCUUGUUCUGAUUCCAAUUUUUCCAUUUUUGAAAUCCCCCUUUUUGGCUCCUAUUUCAUGCUACAAUUAGGUCGAGUAUUGAAGCUGGUGCUGCCAUGGGACGGUUGAAGCCAUUACUGAUUCUGAUUUUGUUAUCUGGUGCUGCGAAGGCUAAUAUUGUUGCUGUUCCGGUUGCGUGAGAGUUACCGCUGCUGCCCUGAAACUAAAAGAGAAGAGAGUUGUUACGUUAAAGUAUGCGAUUGCGACAUCGAGUGACACAGGUUUGAAGAUGCGAUAUGAAGCUGCAAGCGAUUAGUAGGCCUUCUUUACGGUUUUAAUUGCUUUCAUAGAGUCCCCUCGCUGUUGUCCCUUGAGAUUUUAUU